rnacentral:sRNA from 1 species
UACAAUGAUCGGUUGAAGUUUAGUGGGC